AGGUCCGUAGCUCAAUUGGUAGAGCACCGGUCUCCAAAACCGGGGGUUGCAGGUUCGAUUCCUGCCGGGCCU
rnacentral:tRNA from 1 species